AGGAAUUGGAAAAGUUACCAGAUAUUGAAAGCUGUGAUUCAAAUAUAAAUGAAGUCUGGACAGAGAAGACUGCUGAGUGUCCACUGUGUAAGAAAACAUUUGACAGUGAUGUUAUUGAGAUACACGCAGCCAACUGCGGAUUACGAACUGCAGAAUAUGAUAAUAACUUCAGUGACCCAAUAAAUACACUUCAAAG